rnacentral:lncRNA from 12 species
AUGUGUUCUAUGUGGCUGUGGAGUGGAUCCUAUGUCUUAAAUAUCCACGGGGGUUUGGCUCCCCCGUUGUGUCUGACAUCGAUGAUGCCUGGAAUCGGUGUGCAUUUCCUGAUAAAGGACCAGUCCCUGGGAAGAGUAACGAUGAUGAUGAUGAUGCAUCUAGAUCAUGAGCCACUCUGUGUCAUGUGCUUUAUAUCCAUUGCCUCCCUUAAUCCUGGCACAGAAUUCAUAGAAUCGAAGUUCAAAGAGAAGACAACUAGCCUGGCUCGUAAGUGGCAGGUGCCUGGAAGGGGUUCCUUGAACUGGAGUUAUGGUUUAUGGGUCCUAAACACAUCCAGAAGCCGGAUGAAUCUGCAGUCUCUGGCCGUGCUCGGGAUCCCAAAGCUGGAAGUCAUACCCAGGGCUUUGCGGCAAAAGUGGACAGAGUUUUUCAUCUUCUUUGAGAUCUUUUCCAUCGUGGUUCAUCUUCACUGGUACACAUUUGUUACUGGCCCCUUGGUGUUUGUGCUUCUUUUUCCUUUUUCCUCUCCUUUUCUUUAUUUCCCUUACUUAACUAAAACAGUGUCUGUUCACAGAAGUACGUAAAAUGUCUGUUCUUCCCUUAGGAUGAAAGUGGGUUAGUAUGGAGCCUGGAAGAAGCCUGCUUGCUGGUCCUGUGUCAUCCCAUUCAUGUGCAUGCUGAUGGAGUGCCCCCCCCAGCUCACCACCUCUCCAGGGGGUGGUACAUCCGCCCCAUCUUCUCCCUCCACAGCCCCUGCACCUCCUGCCAAGUUUUGCCUCUUACCCUGAGCCCUUUGCUUUGGCAGAUCCCUACGCAAGGUCUCAGCAAUGAUGUUGGCCUCCUGCGCUUUCGACUGAAACUAAAACACCAUUUCCUGGAUUGCACCUUUCUGUGAAAUAUGUGACUUCCCGGAUUACAUCACUUCCUGGGGUCUAGCAUCUCACUGGGCCCCGGGACCAACAACUUCCCUAUUUGGUUUUGUCCUUGUCACCGACAUUUGGUCAAUGGUCAGGAUGCUAAGUGUUCUUAUCAGAAACAAAGAAACAAACUAAGGGACGUAAGGAAACUUAGGGAGGCGAUGGAUAGAUCCGUUACCUUGUUUGUGAUGCAGUGCGAGUGUUUACACAUGUGUGCAAACUCAUGAAAUUGUACCUGUUAAAUAUGUGUAAUUCUUUGAUAUCGAUGAUGCCUCGAUAGAGCUGUUUUAUUUAUUUACUUAUUUAUUUUUUUGAUAGAGCUGUUUUAAAAUAAAUAAAACCCCAGCGUGGUAAAAGAUGCA